rnacentral:rRNA from 1 species
AUGGCGUCCCGCAUCGCCUCCCGCCUCCUCCGACGCUCCAGCCCCACAUUAGGCCUCCUGAGGAGCUAUACACAUGUCAGAAACUACAGCAGUCAACUUUCAGGUCUUAUUCCAGCUGGUCCCCAAAGCUCAAAGCUGACAAGAAGGAACUAUUACUUCCCAAAUGCCUCUCCUUACCAACUCUGGAGUAGGUCAUUUGCAUCAGACAGUGGAGACAAGUUUGAAGCUGUUGUGCCUUUCAUGGGUGAAUCUGUAACUGAUGGAACUCUUGCUAACUUCUUAAAGAAACCUGGCGAUAGAGUUGAGGCGGAUGAGGCCAUAGCCCAGAUUGAAACUGAUAAGGUGACAAUAGAUGUUUCUAGUCCUGAAGCUGGUGUUAUUGAAAAGUUUAUUGCUAGUGAAGGUGAUACGGUUACUCCAGGCACCAUAGUUGCUAUCGUAUCAAAGUCUGCAGCACCCGCUGAAACACAUGUUGCCCCAUCUGAGGAGGCGCCCCAAAAAGAAUCACCUCCAGCAAAAGCUGAAGAGAAAUCACCAAAAGCAGAAGAGAAACCAACAAAAGUAGAACCUCCCAAGAAGCAGGCACCAAAGCCAACUCCUUCGAAAACCUCCCCUACAGAACCACAGCUCCCUCCAAAAGAGCGAGAGCGACGGGUGCCAAUGCCCAGGCUGACCACAUUCAAUGAAGUUGACAUGACCAAUUUGAUGAAGCUGCGGUCGGACUACAAGGAUGAAUUUGUCAAGAAGCAUGGUGUCAAACUGGGUCUGAUGUCUUGCUUUGUCAAGGCUGCUGUUUCUGGGCUGCAGAACCAGCCAAUUGUCAAUGCUGUCAUUGACGGUGAUGACAUCAUAUACAGAGACUAUGUCGACGUUAGUGUUGCUGUUGGCACUUCCAAGGGUCUUGUGGUGCCGGUUAUCCGAGAUGCUGAUACAAUGAACUUUGCUGACAUCGAGAAAGGGAUAAACAACCUUGCAAAGAAGGCUACUGAGGGGGCGCUGUCAAUUGACGAGAUGGCGGGAGGAACAUUCACCAUCUCCAACGGUGGUGUCUACGGAAGCCUUAUCAGCACGCCCAUCAUCAACCCCCCACAGUCAGCGAUUCUUGGGAUGCACUCCAUCGUGCAGCGCCCCGUGGUCGUGGACGGCAGCAUCCUCGCCAGGCCCAUGAUGUACCUCGCGCUGACAUACGACCACAGGCUGAUCGACGGCAGAGAGGCCGUCUACUUCCUGCGCCGCAUCAAGGACGUCGUCGAGGACCCCCGGAGGCUGCUCCUCGACAUAUAA